GACGAACGCUGGCGGCGUGCUUAACACAUGCAAGUCGAACGAAGUGGCGAACGGGUGAGUAACGCGUAAUCAACCUGCCCUUCAGAGGGGGACAACAGUUGAAAACGACUGCUAAUACCGCAUACUGAAGGGGGGGAUUGCGUCUGAUUGGCUAGGUGGAGGGGUAACGGCCCACCAAGGCGAUGAUCGGUAGCCGGUCUGGGGGGGUGGACCGCCAAAAUGGGACUGGGACACGGCCCAGACUCCUACGGGAGGGAGGAGUGGGGAAUCUUGCGCAAAUGACGAAAGUCUGACGGGGCAACGCCGCGGGAGUGAUGACGGCCUUCGGGUUGUAAAGCUCUGUUAAUCGGGACGCGGUACCGGAAUAGAAAGCCACGGCUAACUACGUGCCAGCAGCCGCGGUAAUUC
rnacentral:rRNA from 1 species